GUGGAUGGACAGACGGACGGGCAGACAGAUGGGAGCCUUCUGCGGAGGGAAGCAGGGUGCUGGGCAUGGCCGCCUCCCAACUUCCUCGUGCUGAGUUUUCCCAUGAGCCGUGAACGCCAAGCAGCCUCUAACCCAGAGCAUCCAGGUUAAUUACUCAUUAAUGGCACUAAAACACCCUUCACAUUCUCCAGGAAAUAUAUUCCAGCCAGCACGAAAGGCAACGCAAUGCUCUGAUUCAUCCCAGCGUCUAGGAAAACAUCACGGCAAUAAACUGAUAAGGAAGAACAGGUCUGAUGCAGCUCCUCUCCAGCCUGUAAUUAGAGCAGUCUGGAUGGCAAUUAACACACAGUUCCCAGCGGUGUGGCUCGGGGCAGGCUCCCAUCCCAUUGCUCUGCAGCCUGCUAAGCUGCCGUGAGCUUCAGCUCUCCGGAAUGACCAGGAUGGGCAGAUGUCACCUGGAUGCCCCAAGGGCUGCUCUGAAGAUGUUCUGCUGCAAACCUACGUGGUUUUUCCCAGUGAGGAAGGCUCAGGGCCAGGCACAAACAUCUACUGAAGAUGCAGGUUGGGAUGUGCUGCAAUAGCAGUGACUCAGGACUGCACCAUCUUGCCCUGCUGACGGGCUCUGUGUGGGCUCAUCUUGCCCAGGACACCAUCUCCAAGGGCUGGGAGCCACUUGUUGGGCAAAACAGGGACAGAGGAGAAGAGUUGCUCAACCCGACCUCAUUCACCACUCAUCCCAGAGCAUCAUCUCCAUCACCUGCAGCAU